rnacentral:rRNA from 1 species
GCAGGCCUAAUACAUGCAAGUCGAACGGUAAGGCUCUCUUCGGAGAGUACACGAGUGGCGCACGGGUGCGUAACGCGUAUGCAACCUACCCUUCAGAGGAGGAUACCCAGUGGAAACGCUGAAUAAUACUCCAUAUAUAUUAAAGCUUCAUGGUUUAAAUAUGAAAGCUCCGGCGCUGAAGGAUGGGCAUGCGUCCCAUUAGUUAGUUGGUGAGGUAACGGCUCACCAAGGCAUCGAUGGGUAACUGGUCUGAGAGGAUGAUCAGUCACACGGGCACUGAGACACGGGCCCGACUCCUACGGGAGGCAGCAGUAAGGAAUAUUGGUCAAUGGGGGCAACCCUGAACCAGCCAUGCCGCGUGGAGGAAGACGGUUCUAGUAAUUGUAAACUCCUUUUAUGUAAGACUAAUAAGGUACUAUAGGUACCGAUGCAGGUACUACAUGAAUAAGCACCGGCUAACUACGUGCCAGCAGCCGCGGUAAUACGUAGGGUGCAAGCGUUGUC